rnacentral:rRNA from 1 species
GACGAACGCUGGCGGCGUGCCUAAUACAUGCAAGUCGAGCGAAACUUAGAAAGCUUGCUUUCUAAGUUUAGCGGCGGACGGGUGAGUAACACGUGGGCAACCUGCCUAUAAGACUGGGAUAACUUCGGGAAACCGGAGCUAAUACCGGAUAAUAUAAAAGAUCACAUGGUCUUUUAUUGAAAGAUGGCUUCGGCUAUCACUUAUAGAUGGGCCCGCGGCGCAUUAGCUAGUUGGUGAGGUAAUGGCUCACCAAGGCGACGAUGCGUAGCCGACCUGAGAGGGUGAUCGGCCACACUGGGACUGAGACACGGCCCAGACUCCUACGGGAGGCAGCAGUAGGGAAUCUUCCGCAAUGGACGAAAGUCUGACGGAGCAACGCCGCGUGAACGAUGAAGGCCUUCGGGUCGUAAAGUUCUGUUGUUAGGGAAGAACAAGUAUCGUUCGAAUGGGGCGGUACCUUGACGGUACCUAACCAGAAAGCCACGGCUAACUACGUG